rnacentral:rRNA from 1 species
CCUACGGGCGGCAGCAGUGGGGAAUAUUGGGCAAUGGACGCAAGUCUGACCCAGCAACGCCGCGUGAAGGAAGAAGGCUUUCGGGUUGUAAACUUCUUUUAAGGGGGAAGAGCAGAAGACGGUACCCCUUGAAUAAGCUACGGCUAACUACGUGCCAGCAGCCGCGGGAAUACGAAGGUGGCAAGCGUUGUCCGGAUUUACUGGGUGUAAAGGGCGUGCAGCUGGAGAGACAAGUCAGAUGUGAAAUCCACGGGCUCAACCCGUGAACUGCAUUUGAAACUGUUUCCCUUGAGUGUCGGAGAGGUAAUCGGAAUUCCUGGUGUAGCGGUGAAAUGCGUAGAUAUAAGGAAGAACGCCGGUGGCGAAGGCAGAUUACUAGACGGUAACUGACGGUGAGGCGCGAAAGCGUGGGGAGCAAACAGGAUUAGAUACCCUUGUAGUC